rnacentral:rRNA from 1 species
UACGUAGGGUGCAAGCGUUGUCCGGAAUUAUUGGGCGUAAAGAGCUUGUAGGCGGUUUGUCGCGUCUGCUGUGAAAUUUCGGGGCUCAACCCCGAACUUGCAGUGGGUACGGGCAGACUAGAGUGUGGUAGGGGAGACUGGAAUUCCUGGUGUAGCGGUGAAAUGCGCAGAUAUCAGGAGGAACACCGAUGGCGAAGGCAGGUCUCUGGGCCACUACUGACGCUGAGGCACGAAGGCCAGGGGAGCAAACGGG